rnacentral:lncRNA from 1 species
GGGGUUUCACUAUGUUGCCCCGGCUGGUCUAAAAUUCCUGGCCUCAAGCGAUCCUCCUGCCUCCGCCUUCCGAAGUGCUGGGAUUAUAGGCUUGAGUCACCACCGUGCCCAGCAUACAUCUGCUUUCUGAAUAUUUGAGAGGCGGAAGGCACAAGGCGUGACAAUUGAUGGGAUUUGGGAUGUAAAGAGCAAGAGAGGACUCAAGCACAGUCGCCUCGAGGUUUCUAGCCCCGGCUGCUGUCACCAACCACUCUCAGGAAGAGAGUGCGAUGACAUGGAUCCUGCGGACAAACCGCCCCAGGGCGUACCUAGCACCGAAGCAUCAGGUGCCACCAGGUCUCCAGCUCCUUCUCAGAUGACGUCCUUCAGCACGCCCCGGUCCCCCGAGAUGUCCAACAUCCUCUGACUUAACCGCUCGUACAGGGACUGGGGGAGAAUGAAAGCCAGGCCUCAGAGCCGCAGACCCACCCGGCCACCCCUCAGCGUCUACGCCCCCGAAACGUCCGGGCCCUCACCUGGCCGGGGGCGUCGUCCCCUUCCAGGACUCCCUGGUUUAAGGCGCUUCCCCCCAUGUCCUUGCUGCCCUCCCUGUGGCGUGAGCCUUCGGCCUGGUGCGCCCCGCUGCCCUCCUUGGCUGUGACUCUGGUGGGGUUCCGAAGGCCCCUUUAUGCCCGGCAGACCCCUACCGACGGCGGCAUUCCAUUCUGGGGCCACGAGGAGGCACUCAUCGUUUCGUUCCAACCGCCGCCAACGGCCCUGGCCCUCGCGAGCUCUGGAACUACAGAGGUCGCACGGUGAGGUGCCAGGUGUGGCCCGUAAUCGGAGCGCACAAAACAUGAUGGGACACGUAACGGGACCACACAGGGCACAUUGGGCACUUGCAGGGGCGUGAGGUGGCGGCACGUAAUGGGAGCGCGCUGAGCAUGAUGGGGCAUGUGCGGGAGCGCCAGGCGGGGCAUGUAACCAGAGCGUGCGGGGCAUGAUGGGGCACGGACGUGGGGGGUUAGGUGGGGCACGUAAUUGGAGCGCGCGGGGCAUGAUGGGGCACUUGCAGGGGCGCGAGGCUGGGUACGUAACGGGAGCGCGCGGGAAAUGAUGGGGCACCUAACGAGCACGCAGAGCAUGAUGGGGCACGGGUGCGAGGUGGGGCGCACAGUGGGAGCGCGUGGGGCAUGAUGGGACACAUGGCGAGGCCGUCAGGGCACAGGGGAAGCACUUUUGGAACACGUGAGUGACAGGGCUGCCGCCCUUGAAGGAGCCCUCGGAGUGGCUGCGUGGUGGGGCACGUGGGGCAGGUUCAGGAAAAAGGAUGCAGCAUGUGAUUGCAGGGCAACCUGGUGAGGACACGAGAGCCACUUGCCACCAGCAGGGUUCAGGGCUCCCAGCUGUGGGUUACUUCCACCUUCUUUCACUUUCCCUCUUCCAUUGUAUUCUAGAGAAUUUAGGCCCAGACAAGACACUGAUUGAUUGAUUGAUUGAUUGACUGACUGACAGAGGCUCGCUCUGAGCCCAGGCUGGAGUUCAGUGAUGGAUCUCAGCUCACAGCAGCCGCCACCUCCUGGGCUCAAGAGAUCCUCCUGCCUCGGCCUCCCAAGUAGCUGGGAUUACAGACGUGCACCACCAGGCCCAGCUAAUUUAUUUUUUAGUUUUUAAUUUGCUGGUAAGAUGGUUUGUAGCUUUGUUGCCUAGGCUGGUCUUGAACUCCUGGCUUCAAGCGAUCCCCCAGUCUUGACCUCCCAAAGUGCUGGGAUUAUAGGCGUAGGCUACAGCCAACUUUCAAUACUGCCCCAUUGGGGGUUACGUUUCCAACACAUGAAAUUAGGAGGAUACAUUCAAACCACAGCAGUAUAUUAUGACCAUAAUAUUCAUUAACUGUGUAACAGGCUGGGCGCGGUGGCUCACACCUGUAAUCCCAGCACUUUGGGAGACCAGAGUGGGUAGAUCACUCGAGGUCAGGAGUUUGAGACCAGCCUGGCCCACAUGAUGAAACCGCAUCUCUACUAAAAAUACAAAAAAUUAGCCGGUGUGGUGGCAGGCGCCUGUAACCUCAGCUACUUGGGAGGCUGAGGCAGGAGAAUCACUUGCAUCCGGGAGGUGGAGGUUGCAGUGAGCCUGAUUGCACCACUGCACUCCAGCCUGGGCAACAAGAGCAAAACUCUGUCUCAAUAAACAAACAAACAAACAAAACCUGUAUAACAGAGUGUCAUUGAAUUUCUAAACGUUGAAAGACUUCACAUUAAAAAAAAACUCACAAUUUAAUAUUAUUGAGUGAAAGAAACCAGACACAAAAGGGUACAUUCUAUAUGAUGCUGUUUAUGUGACAUUCAAAAACAGGCCACAUGACAACAUGGUAAUAAGGACAGUGGCUGUCCUUGUUAGGAGUUAUGACUGGAAGGAGGCAGGAGGGAGCUUUCUGGAAACACUCUACAUCUUGCUCUUGAGAGUGCAUGUAUAUACAUCAAGUGUUUAUCAAGCUGUGUGGUUAAGAUUUGCACACUUGUAUAUGUUAUACCUCGAUUUAAAAAAUCUAAAUAAGUAAAUAAAGAUACCUUCAAAUCUCUUAAAAAAAAAAAAAAAAAACAAGAGGCCAGUUUCGGCGGCUCACACCUGUAAUCCCAGCACUUUGGGAGGCUGAGGUAGGAGGAUUGCUUGAGGCCAGGAGUUCAAAAC